rnacentral:rRNA from 1 species
CGUCGAUGAAGGACGCAGCUAGCUGCGUGAUUUAGUGUGAAUUGCAGGACACAUUGAGCAUCGACGAUCUGAACGCGAAUUGCGGCCUCGGGUUAAUCCCGGGACCGCGCCCGCCUCAGGGUCG